UGGCCAAGUCCAAAUCAUUUUCCCCGUUUUCAUUGUCGUAUGCGUGGUGCCUUUCCUCUUCCUUGUUUGUGAUAUGAAUGAAGCGUCGCUGGGAGCCUGACACUUCUCCUGAUCUAGGCACUUCCAAAGCCAAAGGCCUGAAGCGACUGUGCACCUGCAAGUCGUCGCCACGUCCAACACAAGAUGGCCGAAACAACUGUAAGAAGCAACAAGGCGACCCCGUCGCUAGUGCCAUCGUCUUCUGCUGCACCUGCUCAAGACAAGAGUGCUGGUACAACUGAUGUAAGCACAUCCAUGUCAUCAUCUUCACCGUCGCCGCCGCCGGCUUUCAACGCUUUCAACUUCUGGCGUACUGCGCUGCCCGUAGUGCCCGCGGCAUGUGAGGUGUCGAACACGAGCAUGGACCAAUCCUAGGUUUGAGUCAACUCCCAUGUGUGAAAAUUGAAAUGCUAUGUACAUGAUUGUAUAGCACCUGUUAAAGCAAUCAGUCUCAUACUAUUGUAACACUUUCCUCAGGCCUUGCGAACACUGUAUUUGCUGUGUUCAGCCAUGCAAGUCCAAGCAGGAGGUAUGACUUGCCAUGCGUACUCCAAGUUAAGUGCUCACUAAAAAAUAGGGUUUGAUUUUUCGAGUUUUCGUACCUCUUUCCAUAUUUCUUUUUUUGUUCUAGCCAAAUCACACAGUUGUAUUCCUUUCCUUUUUGGACAUUGAACGGUAGAUCACAAGUAGUUCCUAGAUAAAAUGGUUGCCUUCUGUGAAGAGCACUGUUUGUUCUCUUUGCUGCAAAAUGGGCGAAAGUCUCA